rnacentral:lncRNA from 1 species
UAAAUUCUUAUUAUUAUUAUUUGAAUCCGUUUGAAUUUUAAAGGAUCUUUAUAAAUAUGGUGCACAAGUUUAAUUAGUGGUUUGAGCAUAUUUAUAUGAGCCUUAUGGAUUUUUUUUAGUGGGCAUGAAGCCAUGAAAUUUCCUUUAAAUGGGAUAUUAAAUUUUAUAAAGUGUUUUACUUCAAUGAUUAUACUGUAAGGAUUUCAUAAAUAAUCUUUUAAUUGAUUAGAGUCAAGAGCUCUAUUUAAAUUUAAUUCAUCUUAACCGUAGCCUACUUCCCCACCAUUACAUUUUUUUUCUUUCUUUUUCCCCACCACUACAUCUACUCUUCCACUUCACUACCAACUUUCACCACCAACUCUCCUUUAUGCAGACAAUCAAAUCCUCAUAAUCUUAGCAAAUCUUAUCAUCAAAAUCUUAUCAUCAAUCCUCUGCCAUUUCAAUUAGACAAAAGCCAAGUUUUAAAAGCUAAGUUUCCUUCUAUUAGUUCAUCCGCUCUUUCCUUCUCUUUUCAACACACCCAACAAAGUUUAAAGUGCAGAGGUAAGUGUUCCAACCAAUCCUCUUCUUCUUCCUUGGGGAUACAACCCUCCAUUUUAACUAUGUUUAUGUUUCCAAAUUCCAGUAAUCAAGCAGAUUCAGAUCCAAAUUCAUUGUUAAAUUGUUGAUUCGCAGAUCAAACUUUGUGAGUUCAGAAAAUUAUCAAGGUUACUUCCUACUUCCUCCAUACAUUCAUUUGUUAAAUUACAAAACUAUGAUUCAAAUGAAAACAGAUCGAACACACGCAUCCAUUACCACUUCUUUUAGACUAUUAUUGUUUCAAUUACAUCAGCUUAUCACCAUCAGAGAACCACCAACAGAAUAAUACACACGCACACAUUUUACUAUAUUCUCUAAUCUAUUACAUGUACAAUCAGUUUUAAUAAAAAGGAAAUGAAUGAUUGAAAGAACAGAUUAAUAAAACCCUAAGUGCUCUAUGUGUGUUUUGUGCGUGUGACUGGAAUUUGGGGGGGGAUGAGUUUCCUGUCCUUGUGUCCGAGUCAGGGGAGGGAGUGAGACAGCCGGCGGCUGCUCAGGGCCGGCGACGGCAACGAUGCCGCCGAGCCGCCUUUUCCUUUUUCUGUCAGAAAUUGGGAGAGGAGAAAGAUUAUUAGAGUUUCAGUUUAAAAAAAAAAGAAGAGAGAGAGAAACGGAGAAAAGGGGUAAGAGAAGAAGAGAGGGAAGGGAGGACUUAUCUUCUCUGGUGACGACGACGCGGCGGCAUCGGCGGCGGCGAUACGGCGGUGGGAGCACCGGGCUGGUCCUGCUCGGCCGGAAAAGAGGAUAAAAUGGGGGAAACUCAGAUCUAGUUUUAAGAAAAGAAAAGAGGAGGAAAGAAAGAGAUUUAGGGCUUACCUGUGAGAAACGAUGCUCGGCUUCUCCACGGCGAGUUCGGACGGCCGGUGAAGAAGACGACCAGUAGAUGACAGGGGCUGAGAGAGGUGGCCGUGUUCUGCCGAUCAUCGGCGGCGGAGGCAGGACGAGGACAGGUAGGAGGCGGCGUGUGGUUGUUUCCGAGAGAUAGAGACGGACGAAAAGGGAAGAACCGAAGGGAAAGAGGGGAAGGAGAGAGAGAAGAGAAGCGGCCGGCGAAGCGGCGCUCGCUGCUGACGGCGCCGCUGUCGUCCGGCGAGGGAGAGGGAGGCAGACCGAGAGGGAGAGAGAGGGAGAGUGAAAGGCGUGCUGUGUGUGUGCGUGUGUUAUGUGUUUUGUGUGUGUGGUAUAUGUAUGUAUGAUUAGGGUUAGGCUUGGGCUCAAAGCCCUUCUUGCUAGCUUGGGCCGAAAAUUUUAAAUAAGGGAAUGGGCCGAUUUUUUAUUUAAGAAAAUGUACUUGGCCCAUUUUAUUUUAAAUUAUGUUGGGUAUUUAUUUAAAUUGAUUGAGGCUCAUUUUAAUUAAGUUUUGAACUGUUAAUUGAUUAAUAAAGCCUACGAAUUUUUGGCCUUAUUUAUUUUAAAAUGUUUGAAUUUUCACUAAAUUAAUUUAGUGAAUUUAAAUCUCUUGAUUUAAUUUUUAAUAUUUAAGGUUGGAACUAUUUAUUUUAAAUGAUGUCCGUUCUUUUAUUUAAUUUAUUGUUGAACUUUAAAAAAAAAUUGGGAUUAAACCCUCAUUUUUAUAAUAUUUCAAGGCUUUUCGAGUAUGGAUUUUUAAAUGGUUAAAAUGUUUUAUUUCAUCUCAAUGGAUUUUAAAAUGUUUUAUUAUUUAUAAAUGAAUAAUGGAAUUUCUUAUUUAUUUACAUGAUAAAAAAAAAUGUGGAAUUGUGUUAUAGAAUGAUUAAGUAUAUGAUUUACUUUAUCAAAUGAGCUUGGGAUUUAAUUGAGAUAUUAAAUUACUAAGCAUGUGUUUAUAAAUGAUUUAUUUAUUUAAGUGAUGAAAAUGUGCGAAGUAUGAGAAAGCAUGAUUUAUAAUGAUUAAAUUUUUAGGGUAAUAAUAUAUAGCUUGUUCUUAAUUGAUGGAGUACUUGACUAAAUGACGGGUGUAGAAGGAAGUUAUGGAUUAUGUACAUGUUGAUGUUCGAACAAUUGGGUUCGAACCUAUAUGAUAGUUACAUGAUAAUUGGUUACAUUUUAUUGAUUGAAUGAAACGAGAUUAAUAUGGAUGCUAGAACCCUAAAACAUUAAAAGAUACCCUAGGCACAUAGAAUUAGACUUUGUCUUAUGACAAUUUCUUCACGAACUUAUCGACUCUUCAUCAAUGAAGGUCCGGGCGACAGAAAGUGAAGCAGAAGAAGAAACGACUCCACGCCAGCUUUAAGAACAAUUGAGGUGGG